CGCUGGGUGGUGUGGCGGCUGGUGCCGGGCUUGCGGCGGUCGAGAUCACGCUGCAGGUCGUCCAGGCUCAGCUCCAGGCCUGGCGG
rnacentral:tRNA from 1 species